AUGGAGCCGACCUUGAAAUACCACCCUUUAAUGUUUGAUGUUCUAACGUUGACCCGUAAUCCGGGUUGCGGACAGUGUCUGGUGGGUAGUUUGACUGGGGCGGUCUCCUCCUAAAGAGUAACGGAGGAGCACGAAGGUUGGCUAAUCCUGGUCGGACAUCAGGAGGUUAGUGCAAUGGCAUAAGCCAGCUUGACUGCGAGCGUGACGGCGCGAGCAGGUGCGAAAGCAGGUCAUAGUGAUCCGGUGGUUCUGAAUGGAAGGGCCAUCGCUCAACGGAUAAAAGGUACUCCGGGGAUAACAGGCUGAUACCGCCCAAGAGUUCAUAUCGACGGCGGUGUUUGGCACCUCGAUGUCGGCUCAUCACAUCCUGGGGCUGAAGUAGGUCCCAAGGGUAUGGCUGUUCGCCAUUUAAAGUGGUACGCGAGCUGGGUUUAGAACGUCGUGAGACAGUUCGGUCCCUAUCUGCCGUGGGCGCUGGAGAACUGAGGGGGGCUGCUCCUAGUACGAGAGGACCGGAGUGGACGCAUCACUGGUGUUCGGGUUGUCAUGCCAAUGGCACUGCCCGGUAGCUAAAUGCGGAAGAGAUAAGUGCUGAAAGCAUCUAAGCACGAAACUUGCCCCGAGAUGAGUUCUCCCUGACCCUUUAAGGGUCCUGAAGGAACGUUGAAGACGACGACGUUGAUAGGCCGGGUGUGUAA
rnacentral:rRNA from 1 species